rnacentral:ribozyme from 13 species
AGAUUUGUUUGUUUUGAGUUUGUAUGUUUUUGGUGUUUUUGUGGCCAUUCCUCUUUCAAUCUGUAAAGUUGCUUGUUGUGCCAUAAAAGAAUUAGGCAAGCCCCAAGCUCGGCUUGUGUACAAAGAGAACAACGCCCUCCCUAGUGACAUCCUUCUUCCUCUGGUCUUUGAAAAGAGAAAGAGAAAGAGAAA